AGCGUGCGCAGGCGGUUUUGUAAGUCUGAUGUGAAAUCCCCGGGCUCAACCGUGGGAAUUGCAUUGGAGACUGCAAGGCUAGGAAUCUGGCAGGAGGGGGUAGAAUUCCACGUGUAGCAGUGAAAUGCGUAGAUAUGUGGAGGAACACCGAUGGCGAAGGCAGCCCCCUGGGUCAAGAUUGACGCUCAUGCACGAAAGCGUGGGGAGCAAACAGGAUUAGAUACCCUAGU
rnacentral:rRNA from 1 species